CACUUUUUGAACCCUCUUAAACCUGUUGAGUGGAGAAAGACCAACCUCAACCAAAACACACCCCUAAUCAAAAGUUAUAUAAGCUAAAAACAGGGCUAAGAUAUACUGGACCUGAUCUACUAAGGUUAACUAGCUAAACACACUAAAUUGCAUGUGCAAACUGAAAAAUUGCAAGUGCUAUUAGUGGGCAUGUUGUUGGUGAUCUACUAUCAUUGCAUGCGCAGUUGAUGACAGGUGCAAAAGUGGAGCAGAUCGCCCUCUUUAAACGAGGAUUUUGCAGCACCAUCGGCUGUCACCAUUGAGAGUUUGUGAGAGCAGAGUGAUUGUAGAUUUAAAA